GGAAGCAAGACAUGGAUGAGAUGUACUUCGGAGUGUAUGAGCAACUCCUAUAUGCCAGGAAGAUGAAACCUGUUGAAGGAGCCCAAUGGACAGGAAUAGUGACAACGAUUGCGGUUGAGAUGCUAAAGGCAAAUAUGGUUGAUGCUGUGUGACCCAGAUGACAGGCUUGCUCCAAUGCCUGUUUUAGCCAGGACGCCAGAUGAAGUUAUUGCAGCCAAAGGUGUGAAG
rnacentral:misc_RNA from 1 species